rnacentral:rRNA from 1 species
AGUGAACGCCGGCGGUAGGCCUAACACAUGCAAGUCGAACGGCAGCACAGGAGAGCUUGCUCUCUGGGUGGCGAGUGGCGGACGGGUGAGGAAUACAUCGGAAUCUACUCUGUCGUGGGGGAUAACGUAGGGGAACUUACGCUAAUACCGCAUACGACCUACGGGUGAAAGCAGGGGACCUUCGGGCCUUGCGCGAUUGAAUGAGCCGAUGUCGGAUUAGCUAGUUGGCGGGGUAAAGGCCCACCAAGGCGACGAUCCGUAGCUGGUCUGAGAGGAUGAUCAGCCACACUGGAACUGAGACACGGUCCAGACUCCUACGGGAGGCAGCAGUGGGGAAUAUUGGACAAUGGGCGCAAGCCUGAUCCAGCCAUACCGCGUGGGUGAAGAAGGCCUUCGGGUUGUAAAGCCCUUUUGUUGGGAAAGAAAUCCAGCUGGCUAAUACCCGGUUGGGAUGACGGUACCCAAAGAAUAAGCACCGGCUAACUUCGUGCCAGCCGCCGCAGUAA